CACAUGCAAGUCGAACGAGACCUUCGGGUCUAGUGGCGCACGGGUGCGUAACGCGUGGGAACCUGCUUUAGGUCGGAAUAACUCAGAGAAAUUUGAGCUAAUACCGGAUAAUGUCUUCGGACCAAAGAUUUAUCGCCUUUAGAUGGGCCCGCGUUGGAUUAGCUAGUUGGUGGGGUAAAGGCCUACCAAGGCGACGAUCCAUAGCUGGUCUGAGAGGAUGAUCAGCCACACUGGGACUGAGACACGGCCCAGACUCCUACGGGAGGCAGCAGUGGGGAAUAUUGGACAAUGGGCGAAAGCCUGAUCCAGCAAUGCCGCGUGAGUGAUGAAGGCCUUAGGGUUGUAAAGCUCUUUUACCCGAGAUGAUAAUGACAGUAUCGGGAGAAUAAGCUCCGGCUAACUCCGUG
rnacentral:rRNA from 1 species